rnacentral:rRNA from 1 species
GAUCCCAUCAGAACUCCGAAGUUAAGCGUGCUUGGGCUAGAGUAGUAUUAGGAUGGGUGACCCCCUGGGAAGUCUUCGUGUUGCACCC